AAGACUUUAGGUUAAUUAUUCUAAGCUUACAGCCUUCAAAGUUGUAGAUACAUUCUAUGUGUAAGUCUUA
rnacentral:tRNA from 1 species